CCUACGGGAGGCAGCAGGGGGGAAUAUUGCACAAUGGGGGGAACCCUGAUGCAGCGACGCCGAGUGAGUGAAGAAGUAUUUCGGUAAGUAAAGCUCUAUCAGCAGGGAAGAAAAAGAAGGUACCGGUCUAAGAAGACCCGGCUAACUACGUGACAGCAGCCGCGGUAAGAAGUAGGGGGAAAGCGUUAUCUGGAUUUACUGGGAGUAAAGGGAGCGUAGACGGUUAUGCAAGUCUGCAGGGAAAGCCCAAGGCUCAACCAUGGGACUGUUGUGGAAACUGUAAAACAUGAGUGCAGGAGAGGUAAGCGGAAUUCCUAGUGUAGUGGUGAAAUGCGUAGAUAUUAGGAGGAACACCAGUGG
rnacentral:rRNA from 1 species